rnacentral:rRNA from 1 species
UACGGGGGGGGCAAGCGUUGUUCGGAAUUACUGGGCGUAAAGGGCUCGUAGGCGGCCAACUAAGUCAGACGUGAAAUCCCUCGGCUUAACCGGGAACUGCGUCUGAUACUGGUUGGCUUGAAUCCGGGAGAGGGAUGUGGAAUUCCAGGUGUAGCGGUGAAAUGACGUAGAUAUCUGGAGGAACACCGGUGGCGAAGGCGGCAUCCUGGACCGGUAUUGACGCUGAGGAGCGAAAGCCAGGGAGCAAAGCGGG